rnacentral:tRNA from 1 species
GGAGAUGUGCCUGAAUUAGGGGCCACCUUGAUAGGGUGACAUAAGGGGGUUAGAAUCCCCCCGUCUCCU